rnacentral:rRNA from 1 species
GAUUGCCUCAGUAACGGCGAGUGAAGCGGCAACAGCUCAAAUUUGAAAUCUGGCUCUUUCAGGGUCCGAGUUGUAAUUUGUAGAAGAUGCUUCGGGUGUGGCUCCGGUCUAAGUUCCUUGGAACAGGACGUCAUAGAGGGUGAGAAUCCCGUAUGUGACUGGCUGCCUCCGCCCAUGUGAAGCUCUUUCGACGAGUCGAGUUGUUUGGGAAUGCAGCUCAAAAUGGGUGGUAAAUUUCAUCUAAAGCUAAAUAUUGGCCAGAGACCGAUAGCGCACAAGUAGAGUGAUCGAAAGAUGAAAAGCACUUUGGAAAGAGAGUUAAACAGUACGUGAAAUUGUUGAAAGGGAAGCGCUUGCAAUCAGACUUGCGCGCGGUCGAUCAUCCGGGGUUCUCCCCGGUGCACUCGGCCGCGCUCAGGCCAGCAUCGGUUUCGGUGGUGGGAUAAAGGCCUUGGGAAUGUAGCUCCUCUCGGGGAGUGUUAUAGCCCUCGGUGCAAUGCCGCCUAUCGGGACCGAGGACCGCGCUUCGGCUAGGAUGCUGGCGUAAUGGUUGCAAGCGACCCGUCUUGAAACACGGACCAAGGAGUCUAACAUUUAUGCGAGUGUUUGGGUGUUAAACCCAUACGCGUAAUGAAAGUGAACGGAGGUGAGAACCCUUAAGGGUGCAUCAUCGACCGAUCCUGAUGUCUUCGGAUGGAUUUGAGUAAGAGCAUAACUGUUGGGACCCGAAAGAUGGUGAACUAUGCCUGAAUAGGGUGAAGCCAGAGGAAACUCUGGUGGAGGCUCGCAGCGGUUCUGACGUGCAAAUCGAUCGUCAAAUUUGGGUAUA